UACGGAGGGUGCAAGCGUUGUCCGGAUUUAUUGGGUUUAAAGGGUGCGUAGGUGGCCUUGUAAGUCAGUGUUUAAAGUCUUCAGCUUAACUGGAGGAGUGGCAUUGAUACUGCGAGGCUUGAGUAAAGUUGAGGUAGGCGGAAUUGAAGGUGUAGCGGUGAAAUGCAUAGAUAUCUUCAAGAACACCGAUUGCGAAGGCAGCUUACUAAGCUUUAACUGACACUGAGGCACGAAAGCGUGGGGAUCAAAC
rnacentral:rRNA from 1 species